rnacentral:lncRNA from 1 species
GGAGGGAGACCGCGAGGGUUCGGCGGCUGCGGAGGCGCUGGCCAUUGGACUGCACCGCCGCGCUCCUGGCCUGGCCCUGCGCCCGGGCCCGCCCGUCCCGCUUCCCCAGCCAGGUGAACAAGCUGCCAGUCUGUGGUCAUCCGCAGAGGGACGCUUUACUGGACAGGUCCUACAAGAAGCCAGGGACUGUCGCUGGCCUACAGCCCAACCAAUGAGCUUAAAUCGAUCUCUGUGAUGAGCCCCAAUUACUGGUCUCAGGACCCUGCCUCAGCAUGGGUCUGGGGUUCCAGAAGAAAGAAGAUAGGACAGUCAUACACCAGCCUUUUCCCUCAGGCGCUUCCCUCAGUGGAGGAAAGCCUGGUGUGCCCAUCCAAGGAGCACCACACCUGCAAGGCCAGGGGAGUGGCAGACAGGGUUUCUCUGCAUAGCUCUGCAUGUCUUAGACCUACUCUGUAGACCAGGCUGGCCUCUUAGAAGUCUGCUGAGGUCUGCUUUCUGCUCCCUGAUUGAGCGCACAUGCCUGGACCAGGUGGAUGUACAUGGCAGCCAUUCUGUACAAUCAUGCAACCGUUGACGAUGCACCCAGGCUGGAGAGACCCAGUGAGUGCUACCUGCUGAGCCAGAGGCUCAGGAACAGCAUCACAAACACGGCUUCCUAAGCUGCAAGAACAUAAUUCUCCAAUUCAACGGGCAAGAAUAUAGAUGGAAGGAAAGGCAUGGAGGACUCCUAAAGAGGCUGCCAAUCACAGAGCUGGGGACCAAUCAGGAUUUUCCCUUCCUUG